UACGGGGGGGGCAAGCGUUGUUCGGAAUUACUGGGCGUAAAGGGCUCGUAGGCGGCCAACUAAGUCAGACGUGAAAUCCCUCGGCUUAACCGGGGAACUGCGUCCGAUACUGGAUGGCUUGAGUUCGGGAGAGGGAUGCGGAAUUCCAGGUGUAGCGGUGAAAUGCGUAGAUAUCUGGAGGAACACCGGUGGCGAAGGCGGCAUCCUGGACCGACACUGACGCUGAGGAGCGAAAGCCAGGGGAGCAAACGGG
rnacentral:rRNA from 1 species